UUUCUGUAGGUGAACCUGCGGAAGGAUCAUUAUUGUAUAACCGAGGUGCGAGGGCCGUCGCUGACCCGAAAGGUCGUGCACGCCCGAGUGCCCUCACACACAUCCAUCUCACCCCUAUGUGCACCACCGCGUGGGUCCCCCUUUGGCUUGUUCGGAGGGGGGCUUACGUUUUCACACAAACUUUGUAUGCAGUGUAGAAUGUAUUUUUUGUUUUUGCGAUCACGCAAUCAAUACAACUUUCAACAACGGAUCUCUUGGCUCUC
rnacentral:misc_RNA from 1 species